CGAACUAUUCGAGCUUUCGCUCCGACUUCGAAACGGCGGCUAGCUAAUGGUGGCGUUUUAGGGUAGAGCGUUACGAGAAGGCGGCAGACAGAGCUCGUUGGGAGAACAGCACCUGUUGAUACUACAGUGCGUCCACGACGUAGAGCACAGAUUCAACGUCACCAACCUGUCGCACUGAUCGUCGUCAAUCUAAAUUUGCCGUUAAGAAGUGAGACCAUCGUGUCUAUGCGGUGACUUGCAGCAGUUUCCUUAUUUCAAAUUCAUGGAACCACAGCGUCGUAUUUAAUCCUCGUAUGCGCGGUCGUGUUAUUAUCAAUUUUAAUAGGCAUUUGAUUAUUUGAUUUAUAAAAUGAAAUUUUACACUUGCUACAUAACAGCAAGCAACAGAUAAACUAGACUAUGUCAAAAUGGGCCCUAUCUUUGCGUUGACAAAUGUUUACUACGAAAUAAAUCUAUUGAGCCUCCUCAUCACCGAGAACAAUUCUGUAGAACAACAACGGUCGCCCGAUACAGGGUGAAAUGUUGAAAUAGUAUGUCAAACGAUAAUUUCUUAUUUGAUGCGUUAAGCUCAUUAGGUACUCAUGCUCUAAUUUUUUUUUUGUGAAUCUAAAGGAAUUGGAGCAAUCAACGACAGUCGUGUCAAACCAUUUUUGAGCAGUCUUCUUUCGAUAGUGUUGUUACCGUGUCCAAGGUAAAUUUUCUAGGCGCGUUAAGUUUCGACUAAAGACAUACAACAAAAAGUGCUGAAAAUGGGUUCCUUUUCACCUAAAGUAUCUAUCCUUGUGAAGUUUCUUCAAGUCGAGAUUGUGUUUUCCGGAAAAUACCGUUAGCACGUUUCCAGAGCAGGAAGAGUGCUUUUGAGCGGUAUAUUAGAGAACGCCCGAAGGGAAGUGGAAACACUUUUACUAAUCCAACAGUUAAUACUUAGAAAAUUCGAGGUAGACGUUGACGUUUUUAAUGAUAACGAUAUAUUUGGCAGAUCGAAAAGUCUGUAUAUAGACGAGUCUGAGAUAACUCGUAUGCUUACUUGACUUCACGAGAACGUCGAAGCGAAUAUCGGGUGAGCGUUUGCGCCCCCUGGUAGAAGGCACGCCGGUCUAUAGUAGGCGGUCACAGAGUUUGUAAUCCCCUGCUUCUUUCCAAUGGGUGGUUAGGCGCCCUUUCGCAAUUUCGCUAGCCUUGUCGUUUAUUGGUCGCAAAAAAAUGUAUUGGGUUUCAAAAUGAACGCACCGUGUUUCUGAGAAUGCUAAAAAUUCAACACUUUGUGAAACAACCAUAUUCAAAAUAAUAGCCGUAAGAAUAUAGGAUCCCGUAUCAAAGAAAUACACAGAAAAAACGAAAAACCGGCUUUAAUCAAUUGAAUAAACAAUAAAGAUUUUUGGAGAGAAGCAAAAAAGAUUUGAGACGAAUCUUAAAAUACUGAAGAGAGUAUAAGAUAGUAAAAACAUAAAUUAGAGCUAAAGAUAAAAGACCUGAAUUAAUUAUUGUUUAAGAUUCUCUUUUCGGUCAUCGAAUUUCGCUGAGUUGUCUAAAAUGAACGUUUGCUUUUUUUCUAGUCUCCUAUUAAAGCUAAAUCGGAUUCGACGGGGAAUAUGAUCUUUGUAUCGAAGAUACGAUUCAAGGUUCAAGCAUAGGAUAGAAUUAUGCAUGUAUUUUUCCAUGAAACCCUACAGAUAAAACUAUUGGUAGAAUAAAGAAUUAGCUUUCUAACGGUAUGUUGCGUUUGGCCAAAAAGAUCAAAAGCAUGACUGGUAAAAAAUUUCGGUUAGGGCCCAAUAUAGUGGCAAAAAAAAUGAGCGCGAUGGAAGUAGUACGAUCAGCACACUUACUAUUGAAGAACUCCUGUCUUUAAUCCAUAUUCAGAAACAUAGGAGCUACAUAAUUCGGCGUCUGAAAUCUAGAUACAGUUGAUAUCAUUGCUGUACUCGAAAUACCUUGAACCUUGACGCAAAGAUCGGCGACAACAUGUUGAUUCGUUUGUUAAUCGAUAAUUUACUAUAUUCACAAUCAAAACCUUCAUUACAGUGACAAGGUACUAGGGGUAGUUUAAUUAGGGGUAGGCAGUAGGGGUAAUUUAAAAUUACAACAGCUUGCCGGUCGGAACCCGCAAUGAUUUAGUAUCAUAUCACUUAUCAUUUACAAAAAAAAUAUUAGAAAUACUCUUGAGUAAGCAGUAAAGAUAUCUCGUGAGAAACAGCUCUUUCUCUAUAUAACGGCCAAAUAUAGCCAUAUGCAGUAUUAGUACAUGCAAUAACAAGUUUUGAACACUGAUUGACAGUAGGCUGCUUCAAGAGGGAGCUCCAUACUAAAAUGAAAAAAAAAUAUAACUAUCUAAUGGAGUUGCUUCAAGGCAAACGCCCACAAGACCAGGACGACAUCAAAGAAUUUAUUGCAACCGGUGAUCCUCCAAAUAGAGCGGAUUUUAACUCAUUUGACUCUUGACAAAACUGUUCAAGUACCAGAGACAUGUAACGCAUUAUUUUCUAAUGAUAUAGAGGUCGGAUCGGUAAAUGCUUAAAGCUUGAAGGUAGACCUUCAAGCUGUAAGCAAUGUUUUAAAGAAUAGAACUGUUCUAACAAUCUAAACAGCAAUCACCUGCACACCACAGAAUAUGAAUAUUUAUGACGACAUACGUGUUAUUACUAUGAGAGGUACAUAGAAUACGUCAAACAAGCCUCAAUAGGAUUCAUUGUCUUCUUAUUUUUUGCAAUGAUGGCAUUACUGCUCCGUUUAAUCAUCACCGUUUAAAAGAAAGUCGUAUACGUGACACAUAAGGAAGGCUCGAAAUAUGCUGCUGGGUUGCUUUUUUCUAUAGAUACAUGUAGAUUUUUUCAAGUGUGUAUUCUAAAAAAAUUUUGUACCUUUGAAAAUCGAUCAAAUUUCUAUGUACAUGAUAUAUAGUUUUUUGAUCGCUCAUUAUCAUGCAAAGCAUCAUUUCCAUCAACGGAAAGAUUUAGUAUAUAAUGACUUGUAGGAGAAUUGGGUCUGUCUUUCUGAGAAGACAAGGCCGACGUUCAGUAAGAUUAAAAUUAAACCACUACUCUAGUUUUAAGGUUCUCUUAUGGCUGACUUUUCACCCGGAACAUGUACAGAAUCCAAUGAAUAAAGCAAGGAUCAACGUGAGACUUUUGUUCAAGUCCCU